rnacentral:piRNA from 1 species
UGUGUGUGCACAUGUGAGUGUGAGUGUGU